rnacentral:lncRNA from 1 species
CAGUUUUCUGUAAACUUAUUUCUUGGUCUGUUUUUUGAUUUCCAUAGGGAAAAUAGGGUAGGAAGCGGUCUACCUCAGAGAUGUGCAAGUGCUUUUUUCGUAGACGUAACAAAGGUCCAUCUCGCAGGUGGCAGGUGACCCCAUAACUCCGCUGACAGUGGAAUGAUCGAGCUGCACUCCCCCAAGGAAGACAAAGGCAGCGACUGUCC